AAUUGAAUAUGCGUAAGUUUCAAUGGAAAUUUGGUUAGAUUCCAAUACGGUCCCGCCACUGUAAAGAGCAUUUUUUGCUAUAAGUCAGGUCUUUAGAACUUAUGUACCCGUAAUACUGUUUCGAGGCAAAACAGUAGGACACAU
rnacentral:sRNA from 2 species